GAUGGCUCAGUGGUAGAGUACUUGCCUUGCAUGCAUGAGGCCCUGGGUUCAAUUCCUCAGCAUCA
rnacentral:tRNA from 1 species